rnacentral:rRNA from 1 species
UUCGACUGUUUUACCAAAAACAUAGCUAAUAGAAAAAAUUAUUGCUAGUGAUGCCUGCUCAAUGAUUGAACAAUAACAAAUAACAACAAUUAAAUAGCCGCGGUAACACCUGACCGUGCAAAGGUAGCAUAAUAAAUCGCCUACUAAUUAUAGGAUAGAAUGAAGGUAAAACGAAGACCUAACUGUCUCAAGACCCUAAAUUUAAAAUAGAAUGUGUGUGUAAAUCCACACUAAAACGGCAAGACGAUUAGACCCUAAGAACUUUACCCAAAGCUUUAAACUUUCAAAAGCUUUAAGUUUCGUUGGGGCAACGAUCUUUAAAAAAGUAACUAAGAAUAUUCAAUCACACAAAUAAUAACACAAACAAUAAUUUCAAAAAGAUAAAACCCAUUAACUAAAAAAUUAAUGAAAUAAAAUAAAAGUUCCUUAGGGAUAACAGCGUCAUAUCGUUUUUUAGAAAAUACCCAAACGAUGUUUGCGACCUCGAUGUUGAAUUACRA